rnacentral:rRNA from 1 species
GACGAACGCUGGCGGCGUGCUUAACACAUGCAAGUCGAACGAUGAAGCCGGAGCUUGCUCUGGUGAAUUAGUGGCGAACGGGUGAGUAACACGUGAGUAACCUGCCCUUGACUCUGGGAUAACUGCGGGAAACUGUAGCUAAUACCGGAUACGACCCUCGGAGGCAUCUCCUGGGGGUGGAAAGAAUUUCGGUCAAGGAUGGACUCGCGGCGUAUCAGCUAGUUGGUGCGGUAAAGGCUCACCAAGGCGACGACGGGUAGCCGGCCUGAGGGGGUGACCGGCCACACUGGGACUGAGACACGGCCCAGACUCCUACGGGAGGCAGCAGUGGGGAAUAUUGCACAAUGGGCGCAAGCCUGAUGCAGCAACGCCGCGUGAGGGAUGACGGCCUUCGGGUUGUAAACCUCUCUUAGCAGGGAAGAAGCGAAAGUGACGGUACCUGCAGAAAAAGCACCGGCUAACUACGUGCCAGCAGCCGCGGUAA